GCUUACGGCCAUACCACCCUGAGCACGCCCCAUCUCGUCUGAUCUCGGAAGCUAAGCAGUGUCGGGCCUGGUUAGUACUUGGAUGGGAGACCGCCUAGGAAUACCAGGUGCUGUCAGCU
rnacentral:rRNA from 1 species